UACGGAGGGAGCAAGCGUUACUCGGAAUUAUUGGGCGUAAAGGGCGCGUAGGCGAUUUGAAAAGUCUUGUGUGAAAGCCCCGAGCUUAACUCGGGAAGUGCACAAGAAACUGUUGAAUUUGAGUUCCCGGAGAGGAAGGCAGAAUUCCCGGUGUAGCGGUGAAAUGCGUAGAUAUCGGGAGGAAGACCAGUGGCGAAGGCGGGUCUCUGGACAGUUCCUGACACUGAGGCACGAAGGCCAGGGGAGCAAACGGG
rnacentral:rRNA from 1 species